rnacentral:rRNA from 1 species
AAAACCCCGCAAGGGGUUAGUAGAGUGGCGAACGGGUGAGUAACACGUGGGUGACCUACCUUCGAAUGUGGGAUAACGUCCCGAAAGGGACGCUAAUACCGCAUAACAUCCUGCUUUUGAACAGGUGGAGAUCAAAGCCGGGGAUCGCAAGACCUGGCGUUUGAAGAGGGGCCCGCGUCUGAUUAGCUAGUUGGUGAGGUAACGGCUCACCAAGGCGACGAUCAGUAUCCGGCCUGAGAGGGCGGACGGACACACUGGGACUGAGACACGGCCCAGACUCCUACGGGAGGCAGCAGUGGGGAAUUGUUCGCAAUGGGCGCAAGCCUGACGACGCAACGCCGCGUGGAGGAUGAAGGUCUUCGGAUUGUAAACUCCUGUUGCUCGGGACGAAAAGCUUCGACCUAACACGUCGAGGUCUGACGGUACCGGGUGAGGAAGCCCCGGCUAACUCUGUGCCAGCAGCCGCGGUAAUACAGAGGGGGCAAGCGUUGUUCGGAAUUACUGGGCGUAAAGGGCGCGUAGGCGGCCUUCUAAGUCGAACGUGAAAUCCCCGGGCUCAACCCGGGAACUGCGUCCGAUACUGGAAGGCUUGAAUCCGGGAGAGGGAUGUGGAAUUCCAGGUGUAGCGGUGAAAUGCGUAGAUAUCUGGAGGAACACCGGUGGCGAAGGCGGCAUCCUGGACCGGCAUUGACGCUGAGGCGCGAAAGCCAGGGGAGCAAACGGGAUUAGAUACCCCGGUAGUCCUGGCCCUAAACGAUGAAUGCUUGGUGUGGCGGGUAUCGAUCCCUGCCGUGCCGAAGCUAACGCA